rnacentral:rRNA from 1 species
AUUGAACGCUGGCGGCAGGCCUAACACCUGCAAGUCGCACGGAGUGGCGGACGGGUGAGUAAUGUCUGGGAAACAGCCUGAUGGAGGGGGAUAACUACUGGAAACGGGCGCUAAUACCGCAUAAUAUCAGAUGAGCCAAGGUCGGAUUAGCUAGUUGGUGGGGUAACGGCCUACCAAGGCGACGAUCCGGAACUGGUCUGAGAGGAUGAUCAGUCACACUGGAAAUGAGACACGGUCCAGACUCCUACGGGAGGCAGCAGUGGGGAAUAUUGGACAAUGGGCGACAGCCUGAUCCAGCCAUGCCGCGUGUGUGAAGAAGGUCUUCGGAUUGUAAAGCACUUUAAGUUGGGAGGCGUUCCCAACAGAAUACGCACCGGCUAACUUCGUGCCAGCCGCCGCGGUAAUUC